rnacentral:rRNA from 1 species
AACGCUGGCGGCGUGCCUAAUACAUGCAAGUCGAGCGAACGGACGAGAAGCUUGCUUCUCUGAUGUUAGCGGCGGACGGGUGAGUAACACGUGGAUAACCUACCUAUAAGACUGGGAUAACUUCGGGAAACCGGAGCUAAUACCGGAUAAUAUUUUGAACCGCAUGGUUCAAAAGUGAAAGACGGUCUUGCUGUCACUUAUAGAUGGAUCCGCGCUGCAUUAGCUAGUUGGUAAGGUAACGGCUUACCAAGGCAACGAUGCAUAGCCGACCUGAGAGGGUGAUCGGCCACACUGGAACUGAGACACGGUCCAGACUCCUACGGGAGGCAGCAGUAGGGAAUCUUCCGCAAUGGGCGAAAGCCUGACGGAGCAACGCCGCGUGAGUGAUGAAGGUCUUCGGAUCGUAAAACUCUGUUAUUAGGGAAGAACAUAUGUGUAAGUAACUGUGCACAUCUUGACGGUACCUAAUCAGAAAGCCACGGCUAACUACGUGCCAGCAGCCGCGGUAAUACGUAGGUGGCAAGCGUUAUCCGGAAUUAUUGGGCGUAAAGCGCGCGUAGGCGGUUUUUUAAGUCUGAUGUGAAAGCCCACGGCUCAACCGUGGAGGGUCAUUGGAAACUGGAAAACUUGAGUGCAGAAGAGGAAAGUGGAAUUCCAUGUGUAGCGGUGAAAUGCGCAGAGAUAUGGAGGAACACCAGUGGCGAAGGCGACUUUCUGGUCUGUAACUGACGCUGAUGUGCGAAAGCGUGGGGAUCAAACAGGAUUAGAUACCCUGGUAGUCCACGCCGUAAACGAUGAGUGCUAAGUGUUAGGGGGUUUCCGCCCCUUAGUGCUGCAGCUAACGCAUUA